rnacentral:rRNA from 1 species
CCCUUAGAUGUUCUGGGCUGCACGCGCGCUACACUGAUGCGCUCAACGAGUUUAUGACCUUGCCCGGAAGGGUUGGGUAAUCUUUUCAAAACGCAUCGUGAUGGGGAUAGAUUAUUGCAAUUAUUAAUCUUCAACGAGGAAUUCCUAGUAAGCGCGAGUCAUCAGCUCGCGCUGAUUACGUCCCUGCCCUUUGUACACACCGCCCGUCGCUACUACCGAUUGGAUGGUUUAGCGAGAACUUUGGACCGGAGCUCGGGUGGUCAGCAAUGGCCGCCCGAGACAUACUGGGAAAUCGCUCCAGCUUGAUCAUCUAGAGGAAGUAAAAGUCGUAACA